rnacentral:rRNA from 1 species
AACGAACGCUGGCGGCAUGCCUAACACAUGCAAGUCGAACGAGACCUUCGGGUCUAGUGGCGCACGGGUGCGUAACGCGUGGGAACCUGCCCUUAGGUUCGGAAUAACUCCCCGAAAGGGGUGCUAAUACCGGAUAAUGUCUUCGGACCAAAGAUUUAUCGCCUUUGGAUGGGCCCGCGUUGGAUUAGCUAGUUGGUAGGGUAAAAGCCUACCAAGGCGACGAUCCAUAGCUGGUCUGAGAGGAUGAUCAGCCACACUGGGACUGAGACACGGCCCAGACUCCUACGGGAAGCAGCAGUGGGGAAUAUUGGACAAUGGGCGAAAGCCUGAGCCAGCAAUGCCGCGUGAGUGAUGAAGGCCUUAGGGUUGUAAAGCUCUUUUACCCGGGAUGAUAAUGACAGUACCGGGAGAAUAAGCACCGGCUAACUCCGUG